AGUGGGGAGUAUUGGACAAUGGGGGCAACCCUGAUCCAGCAAUGCCGCGUGGGUGAUGAAGGCCUUCGGGUUGUAAAGCCCUUUCGGCGGGGACGAUGAUGACGGUACCCGCAGAAGAAGCCCCGGCUAACUUCGUGCCAGCAGCCGCGGUAAUACGAAGGGGGCUAGCGUUGUUCGGAAUGACUGGGCGUAAAGGGCGCGUAGGCGGCGAUUUUAGUCAGGCGUGAAAGCCCUGGGCUCAACCUAGGAACUGCGUUUGAUACUGGAUCGCUUGAGUGUGGGAGAGGAUGGUGGAAUUCCCAGUGUAGAGGUGAAAUUCGUAGAUAUUGGGAAGAACACCGGUGGCGAAGGCGGCCAUCUGGACCACUACUGACGCUGAGGCGCGAAAGCGUGGGGAGCAAA
rnacentral:rRNA from 1 species